CCAGACUCCUACGGGAGGCAGCAGUAGGGAACCUUCGGCAAUGGACGAAAGUCUGACCGAGCAACGCCGCGUGAGUGAAGAAGGUUUUCGGAUCGUAAAACUCUGUUGGUAGAGAAGAACGUUGGUGAGAGUGGAAAGCUCAUCAAGUGACGGUAACUACCCAGAAAGGGACGGCUAACUACGUGCCAGCAGCCGCGGUAAUACGUAGGUCCCGAGCGUUGUCCGGAUUUAUUGGGCGUAAAGCGAGCGCAGGUGGUUUAUUAAGUCUGGUGUAAAAGGCAGUGGCUCAACCAUUGUAUGCAUUGGAAACUGGUAGACUUGAGUGCAGGAGAGGAGAGUGGAAUUCCAUGUGUAGCGGUGAAAUGCGUAGAUAUAUGGAGGAACACCGGUGGCGAAAGCGGCUCUCUGGCCUGUAACUGACACUGAGGCUCGAAAGCGUGGGGAGCAAACAGGAUUAGAUACCCUGGUAGUCCACGCCGUAAACGAUGAGUGCUAGAUGUAGGGAGCUAUAAGUUCUCUGUAUCGCAGCUAACGCAAUAAGCACUCCGCCUGGGGAGUACGACCGCAAGGUUGAAACUCAAAGGAAUUGACGGGGGCCCGCACAAG
rnacentral:rRNA from 1 species